GAGGAGAUAGGGGAAAGAAGAAAGGAGGGACACCAGGGAAGGAAAAUUAGAGAAUGAGAAGAGGAAGAGGAGGAGAAAUGUGUUUUGAUAAAGGCUGCAGAGGAGGAAAAGUGGGUAGAAGACAAGGAGGAGGAGGGAGGAGAGUACAGAAACAGGAGCCAGAACCAAUUUCAGAUUUUAAACCAUCAGCAUUCAGGCUGCUCUUCACUCCUCAUUUAUUAUAUCGAAAUUUGCAGGACUUUCCAGUGGCCUGAAUACGUUGUGGUGCUUCGUGUCCUGUCAGAAGACAGAUUACUCUUGUCAGGACCACCAGCCGAGUAUUCUCCACCCAUCGCACUCACCAGUAGUGCUGUUUUUGGUCUCCAUCCUGUCCUCCCAUCUGCUCGGAGCCCGAGGAUUAUAUACUCCACUUCUCCUCAGCCUGCCCUUCAGUCUGUAUUCUCCAUCUCUUCGAAAUCUGGACCGGACUCUCCACUCUUGACCCUCUUUGGAAUAUACCCCUGGCAGCCUUUUCCCCGUUAAAUGACUAGGGUCGCCAA
ensembl:lncRNA